rnacentral:rRNA from 1 species
UACCACAAAACKKGCUCCCUAAUGAAAGAAAGCGGACGGGAGAGUGCACGUGGGUAACCUGCCUGUAGGACUGGGAUAWCUCCGGGAAACCGGGGCUAAUACCGGAUGGUUGUCUGAACCGCAUGGUUCAGACAUAAAAGGKGGCUUCGGCUACCACUUACAGAUGGACCCGCGGCGCAUUAGSUAGUUGGUGAGGUAACGGCUCACCAAGGCGACGAUGCRUAGCCGACCUGAGAGGGUGAUCGGCCACACUGGGACUGAAACACGGCCCAGACUCCUACGGGAGGCAACAGUAGGGAAUCUUCCGCAAUGGACGAAAGUCUGACGGAGCAACGCCGCGUGAGUGAUGAAGGUUUUCRGAUCGUAAAGCUCUGUUGUUAGGGAAGAACAAGUGCCGUUCAAAUAGGGCGGCMCCUUGACGGUACCUAACCAGAAAGCCACGGCUAACUACGUGCCAGCAGCCGCGGUAAUACGUAGGUGGCAAGCGUUGUCCGGAAUUAUUGGGCGUAAAGGGCUCGCAGGCGGUUUCUUAAGUCUGAUGUGAAAGCCCCCGGCUCAACCGGGGAGGGUCAUUGGAAACUGGGGAACUUGAGUGCARAAAAUGAGAGUGGAAUUCCACRUGUAGCGGUGAAAUGCGUAAAGAUGUGGAGGAACACCAGUGGCGAAGGCGACUCUCUGGUCUGUAACUGACACUGAGGAGCGAAAGCGUGGGGAGCGAACAGGAUUAGAUACCCUGGUAGUCCACGCCGUAAACCAUGAGUGCUAAUGUG